rnacentral:lncRNA from 1 species
UUUUCGGCCCGCCAGUACCGCCGCCGCCGCUGUCUCUGCUGUUCCUGCUGUUAUCCUGCUACCGCGCUCGCUUUUUUCUUUUCGCGAGUGUUAUAUUCACUUUUAAAACUUAAAGAUCAAAAGCGAGCAGACACGAAUGAGCCCCUCUCAAGUCUGUGCAAGCAAGCAAGUGCGAGUCUCGAUUUAGGACCAGUGAUUGACAGCCUCCGGCUCGCCACUAAUCUCCAUUUCAUCGAGCCCAGCUACAAGGAAAUCGGAAGGUCCAUGCGGUGUAGCAAGGGCUGCCCACCACACCAGGGAGUAGCACCUUAGACCAUGCCACUCAGCUACAGAAAUGACCUUGCCAUGCCAGGGACGAACACCUUACACUACACUACUCAGCAACAGGGCCAUACGGUGCAGAGAGGACCUGCCCACACCGGGGAUUGUCACCUUACAGUAUGCCACAUAAUUACAGGGCCAUGAAAAGACAGCUGCAAGAUAACACAGGGCAAGAUGGUUUCCCAAUGCGUAAAGAUUGAACACCAACCUCCGAGAUGAAUCAGAAGAGUAGGGCCACUAGAAGCACCUGUAUGGAUAGGACACGAGUGUAGUAAUAAAACCAUAUUGCCAAUAUAAA